AUUGAACGCUGGCGGAAUGCUUUACACAUGCAAGUCGAGCGGCAGCGCGGGGCAACCUGGCGGCGAGCGGCGAACGGGUGAGUAAUGCAUCGGAACAUGUCCAUGUCGUGGGGGAUAGCCCGGCGAAAGCCGGAUUAAUACCGCAUAAGCCCGAGAGGGGAAAGUGGGGGACCGCAAGGCCUCACGCGAUUGGGUUGGCCGAUGUCCGAUUAGCUAGUUGGCGGGGUAAGAGCCCACCAAGGCGAUGAUCGGUAGCUGGUCUGAGAGGAUGAUCAGCCACACUGGGACUGGGACACGGCCCAGACUCCUACGGGAGGCAGCAGUGGGGAAUUUUGGACAAUGGGGGCAACCCUGAUCCAGCCAUUCCGCGUGAGUGAAGAAGGCCUUCGGGUUGUAAAGCUCUUUUGUCCGGAACGAAACGGUUACGGUGAAUACCCGUGACUCAUGACGGUACCGUAAGAAUAAGCACCGGCUAACUACGUGCCAGCAGCCGCCGUAA
rnacentral:rRNA from 1 species